rnacentral:rRNA from 1 species
UGGGGAAUAUUGCACAAUGGGCGCAAGCCUGAUGCAGCAACGCCGCGUGAACGAUGAAGGUCUUCGGAUCGUAAAGUUCUGUUGCAGGGGAAGAUAAUGACGGUACCCUGUGAGGAAGCCCCGGCUAACUACGUGCCAGCAGCCGCGGUAAUACGUAGGGGGCUAGCGUUAUCCGGAUUUACUGGGCGUAAAGGGUGCGUAGGUGGUCUUUCAAGUCGGUGGUUAAAGGCUACGGCUCAACCGUAGUUAGCCUCCGAAACUGGAAGACUUGAGUGCAGGAGAGGAAAGUGGAAUUCCCAGUGUAGCGGUGAAAUGCGUAGAUAUUAAAAAGAAUACCGGUGGCGAAGGCGACUUGCUGGGCACAAUCUGACGCUGAGGAACGAAAGCGUGGGGAGCAAACAGG